rnacentral:rRNA from 1 species
AUGAUUCAGAAGUGUUUGCUCACUCAAAUCAGUCAGAAUGUGGAAGCGUACAUGGAUGACACUGUGGUCAAGUCACGGAAAGGUUCCGACCUGCUGACUGACCUCGCUGAAACAUUUGCCAACCUCAGGAGGUAUGAUAUCAAGCUUAACCCAUCCAAGUGCACAUUCGGAGUUCCUGGCGGAAAGUUACUCGGUUUUCUCGUUUCCGAACGAGGAAUCGAUGCAAACCCAGAGAAAGUAGCCACUAUACUCCGAAUGAAACGACUUGUGCAUAUUCACGAUGUUCAGAAGCUUACUGGUUGCUUGGCCGCUUUAAGUCGAUUCAUCUCUUGUCUUGGUGAGAAGGCAUUGCCUCUUUACUAA